rnacentral:snRNA from 1 species
AUACUUAUCUGGCAGGGGAGAUACCAUGAUCACAGAGAUGGUUUUCCCAGGGCGAGGCUUAUCCAUUGCACUCCAGAUGUGCUGAUGCCUGCGAUUUCCCCAAAUGUGAGAAACUCGACUGCAUAAUUUGUGGUAGUGGGGGACUGCUGCAUUCCCGCUCUCCCCUG